AAUGAUGGUGGCAAUGAUUUUGCUCUUGAAAAUAACAUUUCACUCCGUUACUUUUGGCCAUAAUUUGUGGGAAAUUUAAAACAGCGAAUGCUGCUGGAGUGCACAUGUUUGUACUACAGUAUAUAUACGUGUGUGUGUGUGUGUGUGCAUGUGUGUGUCAUGGUGUUGCUGCCCGGAGCUGUGCCAUGCUUGAUUAGUCCUAAUCUAGCUAGGAGUCAGGUUGCUGUGUCGGCGGUGUGUCUGUAUGGAAGGCAUGCAGGCUGCGGAUCACAGGGAUUGACCCUCUGCCUCUCAGGUUAACAGAAGCCCUGUGUGUGUGUGUGUGUGUGUGUAUGUGUGUGUCCUGAAAACAGUGUGACGGUGAAACUUGCUGAAGUUGGACUUGAGCUUUUGGAUGUGAAACAACAACUUGGAGUGUGUGAGGAAAAUAUGUACUUGCUUUGAGAAGUGAGUAAAGUGACAUUUGAAGGGUGUGUAUGUGUGUGUGAGAAAAAAAGGAACUGAGAGGAUAAAAAUAAGAGUGAGUGCGCGUGUUUGCAAGAGGGCUAGUUGAACUUUGGCUGUGGCUGCAGCGCAGGAGUCACCUCUCGUAAAACGUACCCUCAGCAGGUUGUAAACAUAAUACCGCACACUCACAAACACACACUGCUGAUGUUCCACAGCAGCUCAGAAAAGUGUGUUGUCGGUUUAAAGUGGACAAAGCCGCAGAUGACGUGCCCCCCCCCCUGCAGCAGAACCAGUCGUGGGCUUAAGUUGUCUGUUAGUGUCUGUGUAAGUGUGUGUGUUUGGGGAGUUUUAGGAUCAAACCCUCAUGUCGACAGAGGCUGCACUGAGGAGACGACCGCUGACAGGUGCUUCCUGCAGCAACGCAGCAGGCUCCAGCACAGUGGCACAGCCAAUCACUGACACGGCCGCAACCAAAACAACAUGGCUGCUCAACAAAUAGGAGCUCUUCCAUCUGUCUUAAUAUACCCCACCGCCACCAUUUCCCCUGGGCUAUGACGCCAUAGCUCCCAAAUGGAAACAGAAGUCAUGACGACAGGUUGGACCAAUGCUUUUUAGAUCAGUAUCUGGGCUCGUAACAGUCUAUCUGAGGAUUCCUAUAUGGUUAGAAAAUGAGGCUCAGGUUAGUUUGGUCUCUGUGUCAGCUGUCCAAUGAGGGAGCAGAUUGUAGAUAGUGUCAAUUUCCCCAAAUAAUGUAAGUUAUGUAAUGUUUGUGUGAGUGACCUGGAGCUUGUAUUGCUUUUAUCCCAACUACUAAAAACACACGUGAAGAGGGCAAAAGCAGAAAAAGGCAAAACUGUAUUAGAAAAUAAUUGGACAUAUUACAGACGCACAAUUUUAGGCUCAGAAGAUUAGUAAAGAAAUAAUUGAAAAAAAUGUAAAGAUAAAAAGAUUUAUGAAUUUUACAAAUGUGUGGUAGAAUAUUUAACCUUUAAUAAUUUUGUAUACUACUGUUAUUUAUUUAGACUGUCAGUGUUUCCUUGUUUGUGUGUGUACAAAAAGUGAUCCAAGAAUAAAUAUGAUUCAAAUAAUCUUAAAAAAAAAAAAAUCUUCAUAAGACAAAAAAUACUGCAUGGCAUUUCAGUCAGAGUUUAGUCAAACUUUAAUUUUCAAAAGCUUCUUUAUUAGAAAAUAUUAAAAUUUUAUAACUAAUAUUUCACAUUGCAAUAAUUUUGUUGGUGGAAUUUUUGAAUAUUUUCAUCAUCGGUGAGUUUUGCAGCAGAAAGUUGGCCUUUACCCUCCAAAAAACCCUUAGCAUUUGAACAUCACAUAACAGGUGUGUAUGUGUUUGUGUGUGUUGUUGAAGUUCUCUGAACUUUCUCCAGGCCGGGGGAGCAAACUCACGCCUGUUUCUCCUGACACUGUAAAAAAGAGCACUUUCCUCUCCUUG